UAACGGAGAGGAGAGACAGUAGACAGACGGUAGUAACGGAGAGGAGAGAGACAGUAGACAGACGGUACUAACGGAGAGGAGAGAGUCAGUAGACAGACGGUAGUAACAGAGAGGAGAGACAGUAGACAGACGGUAGUAACGGAGAGGAGAGUCAGUAGACAGACGGUAGAAACGGAGAGGAGAGAGACAGUAGACAGACGGUAGUAACAGAGAGGAGAGAGACAGUAGACAGACGGUACUAACGGAGAGGAGAGAGACAGUAGACAGACGGUACUAACGGAGAGGAGAGACAGUAGACAGACGGUAGUAACGGAGAGGAGAGAGACAGUAGACAGACGGUAGUAACAGAGAGGAGAGUCAGUAGACAGACGGUAGUAAUGGAGAGGAGAGACAGUAGACAGACGGUAGUAACGGAGACAGUAGACAGACGGUAGUAACAGAGAGGAGAGACAGUAGACAGACGGUACUAACGGAGAGGAGAGAGACAGUAGACAAACGGUAGUAACAGAGAGGAGAGUCAGUAGACAGACGGUAGUAACGGAGAGGAGAGAGACAGUAGACAGACGGUAGUAGUGGAGAGGAGAGUCAGUAGACAGACGGUAGUAACAGAGAGGAGAGAGACAGUAGACAGACGGUAGUAACAGAGAGGAGAGACAGUAGACAGACGGUAGUAACGGAGAGGAGAGAGACAGUAGACAGACGGUAGUAACGGAGAGGAGAGAGACAGUAGACAGACGGUAGUAAUGGAGAGGAGAGACCGUAGACAGACUGUAGUAACAGAGAGGAGAGACAGUAGACAGACGGUAGUAAUGGAGAGGAGAGACAGACAGACGGUAGUAACAGAGAGGAGAGACAGUAGACAGACUGUAGUAACAGAGAGGAGAGACAGUAGACAGACGGUAGUAAUGGAGAGGAGAUACAGACAGACGGUAGUAAUGGAGAGGAGAGACAGUAGACAGACUGUAGUAACAGAGAGGAGAGACAGUAGACAGACGGUAGUAACGGAGAGGAGAGACAGACAGACGGUAGUAACAGAGAGGAGAGACAGUAGACAGACUGUAGUAACAGAGAGGAGAGACAGUAGACAGACGGUAGUAAUGGAGAGGAGAGAGACAGUAGACAGACGGUACUAUGGGAGAGGAGAGAGACAGUAGACAGACUGUAGCAACGGAGAGGGGAGACAGUAGACAGACGGUAGUAACAGAGAGGAGAG
ensembl:lncRNA